rnacentral:lncRNA from 1 species
GAGUCGCAACCUGCGCCUGGAGUCCCGCUCUCUCCGGCCGAUGGCGGCUCGGGUCAAAAAUAAGUUACUGCAUUCCUAUCGCUCCCCACCAAACUCCGUCCUUCGCCCGCAGACACUUCGCGCCUCCCCGCUUUCUCUCUCUCCCCUCAGUUGGUUUCCAGACUUCCUGACUCCGCGGGCCCCGUGAGAAGUGACACGGCCCGGGGGUCGCGAGCUGAAGACCCCAGCCUUAGGGGGAGGGUGUUAGCGGGGGAGGCGCCUCUCAGACCUUUUGACAGAGCUGCCCCCAGUCAGCCGCCUCUGUCCCUGCGCGUCGUCCCUGACAAUUCUGAGAGCUAUUGAAGGAGCUGAGAUUCAGAGAGACUGGAUCAUUUACUCCAGACACAUUCACUUUCUGGGCCUAAAGUGGACUCGGGGAGCACUUCCUACAGUUUUAAGUGCCUUAGGAUGGUCUCCUGACUCAUCUUCAAGAGAUGUUCUUCCAGAUGGGAUCAAGUUCAAGAAAGGAAGCCUUGGAGGGAUGCAGUUUCAGGGGGGUUUUAUGCAAUAAAGUUUUAAAUUAAUAGCCUUUGGCUUUCUCUUAGAGGUGAUUACAUUUGCCACAGAAAUA